rnacentral:rRNA from 1 species
AACGAACGCUGGCGGCAUGCCUAACACAUGCAAGUCGAACGAGACCUUCGGGUCUAGUUGCGCACGGGUGCGUAACGCGUGGGAACCGGCCCUUAGGUUCGGAAUAACUCCCCGAAAGGGGUGCUAAUGCCGGAUAAUGUCUUCGGACCAAAGAUUUAUCGCCUUUGGAUGGGCCCGCGUUGUAUUAGCUAGUUGGUAGUGUAAAAGCCUACCACGGCGACGAUCCAUAGCUGGUCUGAGAGGAUGAUCAGCCACACUGGGACGGAGACACGGCCCAGACUCCUACGCGAGGCAGCAGUGGGGAAUAUUGGACAAUGGGCGAAAGCCUGAUCCAGCAAGGCCGCGUGAGUGAUGAAGGCCUUAGGGUUGUAAAGCUCUUUUACCCGGGAUGAUAAUGACAGUACCGGGAGAAUAAGCUCCGGCUAACUCCGUG